GAAGGUCUCUUGGAUGAGAUCUCCAGCCGCCGGACAGGAUCCACUUCCUGGCUCCACUUCCCCGGAGCCAGGCGGGGACAGUCCGGCCGGAUGGGGGUCUGAUCCAAGAGCGCGGGGAGG
rfam:Arthrobacter agilis strain 4042 Contig24, whole genome shotgun sequence.